rnacentral:rRNA from 1 species
UCCAUCAACAUCAUAGCCAGAUGCCCAGAGAUUAGAGCGCAUGACAAGUAAAGGACGGUUGUCAGCGUCAUAAGAGGUUUUACCUCCAAAUGAAGAAAUAACAUCAUGGUAACGCUGCAUGAAGUAAUCACGUUCUUGGUCAGUAUGCAAAUUAGCAUAAGCAGCUUGCAGACCCAUAAUGUCAAUAGAUGUGGUAGAAGUCGUCAUUUGGCGAGAAAGCUCAGUCUCAGGAGGAAGCGGAGCAGUCCAAAUGUUUUUGAGAU